rfam:Picea glauca, whole genome shotgun sequence.
GGCCUAUUAGCUUAGUUGGUUACAGCGUCGUGCUAAUAACGCGAAGGUCGCAGGUUCGAGACCUGCAUAGGCCA